AUGCAUUGGUAUACUUGGUGGAAACUCUGCUAUCCGAAGAGUGAAGGGGGGAUGGGAUUUCGAGAUCUAUAUUCUUUUAAUCUGGCAAUGCUCUCUAAGCAAUGUUGGAGAUUAAUAAAUAAUCCAGAGUCGUUAUGUGCAAGAGUACGAAAGGCAAAGUACUUUCCGAAUGGGAUCUUAUUGCAGGCCACUCUUAAGAAUGGGGCUUCUUUUACCUGGCAAAGCAUUAUGAAGGGCUUAGAGACCUUUAAACUGGGAUAUAUCUGGCGAAUUGGGACUGGAGAGAAAGUGAACAUCUAGAGGGAUCCUUGGAUUCCUAGCAGUGCAGACAGGAAGGUGAUUACCCCGCGUGGACACACUUUUCUAGCCACGGUUAAUUACCUUAUCGACCCUACAAGUGGUAAUUGGGACGAAGAGUUGAUUACUUCAAUUUUCAACCCUGUUGAUGUUCGCAGAAUUUUGGAAAUUCCGCUUAACUACAAUGCUUUUGAUGAUUUCAUAGCAUGGCAUCCAAAUCGCAAAAGUAUCUUUUCAGUCCGCUCUGCUUACCACACCCAAUGGUUCCGAACGUUCCGGGCACAUGCAAGCGGGUUAGCACAGUCGGGGAGGUCCAGUACUCCAGCUGUAUGGAGUACAUUGUGGAAGCUUCAAAUCCCACGUAAAGUUCAAAAAAAAAUUUGGCGAGCACUCCAUGGAAUAUUACCUCUAAAGUCUAUAAUGACUAAUAGGCAUGUUGGGUCAGAUGGAGCUUGCCCUAUUUGUCACCGAGCGGCGGAAGAUGUGAAGCACCUUCUUUUCGAAUGCCCUCACGCUACAGAACUGUGGUCACGAGUAGGAAUUAUGGAUUACAUCAAAGAAGUGAAAAUGGUUGAUCAUUCUGGGUCGAUCAUCUUGGAGUACAUUCUCUCAGCCCCAGCAAGACAAGUACCACUCAAGCCCAAUCUGGAUGUGAAGAAACUGAUCAUGGUCGGAGGAUGGUACCUUUGGUGGAUCAGGCGUGAGAUCACUCAUAAUGGAUCUCCCCCGCCCCCUUUUAAAUGGCCAAUGUCAAUCCUUGCGAUAGCUAACAACUUUCAGCAAGCGAAUGCAAAGAAAAACACUUCAGCGUAA
rnacentral:rRNA from 1 species